CGAGCGUCUGGGCGGGUGGUAGGUGAGUGGGUAUUGCGGGCUAGUAUCCGAGCAAAAGAUGGUGGCGCAGGCCGAGUUAAGAGCUUUAAUCCUGUGAAGACAUCUUAGUGAAGAGUUUAGAGUGCUGAGAGUUGAAAGCUUGCACGUGGGAAACGUGCGGCCGGACUGCCACAUGUACUGAGGUUGAGUCGUGACGGCCACAGGCUCCGAGUUUUGGCGUGAGGAACCGCUGAUCGGCCACGGGCGCCGAACUUGCUGGCCUCCGGCAUGUGCCUGAGCGGCGGCGGAAAAACCACCUUAAUUGGGGCGGAGGGUUAGUUUUAACAGCAAAGGGCCUUUACUAAAAUGGCGAAGGCCUUCCGUCGGCGUUGUUUUAAAAUGGGAAGCCUCGACCCUGUAUUGAAACUGAGCUGUUCGAAGGCGGCGUUGUGUGCAAUUCGGAUUAAUGAAGGGGAAGGGUUUUGUGUGGAAAAACGCCUUGGAGUGUGACAUUUCUGCGAGAAUGCUUAAAUACCGAUUUCCCGCAGGAACAAUGGCGCUGUCUUCAGUGGCACAGUGGAGCAGCUCUGAAGAUGCAAAGAUACACGAAAAAACUUCCAGAACAUCUGGGAGAAUAUUUAAUGGAAAAUCGCUUGGUUAAAACCUGACACUUUUAACAGGUAUGUGUUGUUUUAGUACUUUAUGAUUGAGCAUAGCAUUUAAUCCACACCUAGACUAAAUCAAAUUUUUUUUGUCAGUGAACAGCGUUCUGAGUGUGGACGAGUAGCCAGUGAAGAUAAUGAAUGUCGAAUGUGACUGACUAGCAGCUUCAUUUUGAAGUAGGUUGUAUGGCUUAAAAGUUCUGUAGUAUUUGUACUAUAAUACUUGCCUUUUAGCAUUACCUUGGUUUGUAGUCAGUGUCACAGAAGUGCAGUUUAAUGUAUUAUGUGUACAUAUACAAGGUCUGAUUGGUCUAAUCAAUGAUGAAACCUAUCCCGAAGCUGAUAACCUGAAGAAAAAUAAGUACGGAUUCGGCUUCUGAGAUUAAGACCAGUAAUUCAGAGGUGGAGUAAAUUUUGUUGCCGUGAUUUUAUAACAGUUGUGUUAUAAAAUCCUGGGUUUUUUUUUUUUCUGCCAACAGUGAGGGUCGCUGUCUGCCCAUUGAUAGAGGCCAGAUUGUCUUGGAAGUUCCAAAGUUGCAACGAUUUCUGUAAGUGGAGUUUUUCUGUUUGCUUAGAGAUCAGUGAAUAUUGUGUCCUUGGUCUUAUCUGUGAUGAUCUUAUCCCGAACCUGAACUUCUGUUGAAAAAAAAAAACUUUUACGGAUCUGGCUUCUGAGAUGGACCGUUAUAAGGACAAUAUUUUUUUUUAAUACUUUUAAUGCUUUUACAUAUGUUGUAAUGUUUGUAGUCUUGUAAGAAUCUCGUGUUUUUCCUUUUCUAGGGCUAGUGCCACGAGGUUUACUUGACUGUUGUGUGAAAAGCUGAUAAGAAAACCAUCCAGAAAAAAGCUCUUCGUUUUACAAACAUGAAAAUAAAACAUGUAAUUUUG
rnacentral:lncRNA from 1 species